rnacentral:rRNA from 1 species
GACGAACGCUGGCGGCGUGCCUAAUACAUGCAAGUCGAACGCAGUGGGGACGGGUGGGUAACAAGUGGGUAACCUCCCAUCAGAGGGGAUAACACUUGGAAACAGGUGCUAAACCGCUACUGAUGGAUGGACCCGCGGUGCAUUAGCUAGUUGGUGAGGUAACGGCUCACCAAGGCCACGAUGCAUAGCCGACCGGAGAGGGUGAUGGGCCACACUGGGACUGAGACACAGCCCAGACUCUUUCGUGAGGCAGCAGUAGGGACUCUUCGGCAAGGGACGAAAGUCUGACCGAGCAACGCCGCGUGAGUGAAGAAGGUGUUAGGAUCGUAAAACGCUGUUGUUAGAGAAGCGGGAUCUAACCAGAAAGCCACGGCUAACUACGUGCCAGCAGCCGCGGUAAUUC